UGGGGAAUCUUGCACAAUGGGCGAAAGCCUGAUGCAGCCAUGCCGCGUGAAUGAUGAAGGCCUUAGGGUUGUAAAAUUCUUUCGUCAGGGAUGAUAAUGACCGUACCUGAAGAAGAAGCCCCGGCUAACUUCGUGCCAGCAGCCGCGGUAAUACGAAGGGGGCUAGCGUUGUUCGGAAUUACUGGGCGUAAAGCGCACGUAGGCGGAUUUUUAAGUCAGGUGUGAAAUCCCGGGGCUCAACCUCGGAACUGCAUUUGAAACUGGAAGUCUUGAGACCAGGAGAGGUUAGCGGAAUACCGAGUGUAGAGGUGAAAUUCGUAGAUAUUCGGUGGAACACCAGUGGCGAAGGCGGCUAACUGGACUGGUACUGACGCUGAGGUGCGAAAGUGUGGGGAGCAA
rnacentral:rRNA from 1 species